rnacentral:snoRNA from 1 species
AAUGAAUGAUGACAAUUUGUUUCGGUCCCAAAUGAGUCAAUGAUUAUUCUUUCCUAAUUCUGACAUU